GUUUUGUUGGGUUCUCAUCGAUAUAUACUGUUGAAAUAUUGCGGGAGUUAUAAUGUUGUGUUGUACCUGUUUAAUAUAGGGUUGAUAUCAGUGUGAUGUACACAAUGUAGACUUAAGCACUCAUUUUUUUUUCUAUCCUUUACCCAAAGUUCACACAUAAGUUUAACCUUUCUAUUUUUUAAGAAAAAUAAUUUUGCAAUGAUGUGUCUCGUUAAAAUGUUGGUCUUGGGUAUUAUGAAUGUUGAAACUAUUUAGUUGAUUA
rnacentral:lncRNA from 1 species